rnacentral:rRNA from 1 species
GACGAACGCUGGCGGCGUGCUUAACACAUGCAAGUCGAACGGAAAGGCCAUGCUUUUGUGGGGUGCUCGAGUGGCGAACGGGUGAGUAACACGUGAGUAUCCUGCCCUUGACUUUGGGAUAACUUCAGGAAACUGGGGCUAAUACCGGAUAGGAGCUCCUGCUGCAUGGUGGGGGUUGGAAAGUUUCGGCGUUUGGGGAUGGACUCGCGGCUUAUCAGCUUGUUGGUGGAGUAGUGGCUUACCAAGGCUUCUACGGCUAGCCCGCCUGAGAGGGUGGCCGGCGUCAUUGGGACUGAAGUAGGCCCCAGACGCAUACAGGAGGCAGAAGUGGGGAAUAUUGCACAAUGGGCGGAAGCCGGAUGCAGAAACGCCGCGUGCGGGAUGACGGCCUUCGAGGUAUAAACCUCUUUCGAAUGAAAAGAACCGUGAGUGACGGUAAUGGGUAAAAAAGCACCGGCUAACUACGUG